CUGGUACCGUGACCCUUGUGCCCCUGUCUCCUGUGGCUCUGUCCCUUGUCUUGGUUCAUUCUGACCUCACCAGGGUGAUGGCAUUGGAGUGGGGCCUGCGGGCUAAGGAUUUGAUCCUAUAGGUACCCUCCUCUCUCCUGGCUCCCUACCUCCUAGACGAGGAUGCCACGGUUUAUCCAACCUCUUGGUGUCUGUUCAGUUCUUCUCAACUUGGUCAUGAAGUAAUAAUUCACUCUUGAGCAGGUUCAUUUCCUCUUUCGCUCUUGGAACCCUGCUGCCCCUGUGAGAACAAUCCCAGUCUAGCUGGAGGAUGAACAUUUAUGUGAAACCAAGAUGAUCUACUCCACUGAGGCUGUCCUAGAAUAGGUCACUGCUCCCAAGCACUGAGAGAAGACCCAUGGAAGAGACCUGGUGAGUGAUCGGAGACUUGCCUUGUGGCUUGCUGAAGCUUCUUUGAAUCGUAAUCAAUCAUGCUUCCCACAGGAGACUAUUAAAAGGUCAUUAGAAUUUUGACUGCUAAGUCUAUGGAUGGAUUUCUUCUCCUGCUGAAGUUGUGCCAGACAAGACCAGAAUGAUGACUGCCCACCUGAGCUCUGCAGAACUCAGAACUUGUUUUGUGAGAAGAAAUUGUGUUGUAUUCACGUUGCAUUCAUCCCAGCACCAAACACAGUGCCUCGUAC
ensembl:lncRNA